ensembl:miRNA MIR7142 microRNA mir-7142
ACUCUCCGAGGGGCCUUCAAGGGCAAGUUCUUGUCACCUUUGUUGGCUCCUCUGAAGUGA